rnacentral:rRNA from 1 species
UGGGGAAUUUUGGACAAGGGGCGAAAGCCUGAUCCAGCAAUGCCGCGUGAGUGAAGAAGGCCUUCGGGUUGUAAAGCUCUUUUGUCAGGGAAGAAACGGUGAGGGCUAAUAUCCCUUGCUAAUGACGGUACCUGAAGAAUAAGCACCGGCUAACUACGUGCCAGCAGCCGCGGAAAUACGUAGGGUGCAAUCGUUAAUCGGAAUUACUGGGCGUAAAGCGUGCGCAGGCGGUUUUGUAAGUCUGAUGUGAAAUCCCCGGGCUCAACCUGGGAAUUGCAUUGGAGACUGCAAGGCUAGAAUCUGGCAGAGGGGGGUAGAAUUCCACGUGUAGCAGUGAAAUGCGUAGAUAUGUGGAGGAACACCGAUGGCGAAGGCAGCCCCCUGGGUCAAGAUUGACGCUCAUGCACGAAAGCGUGGGGAGCAAACA